rnacentral:rRNA from 1 species
UUGAACGCUGGCGGCAGGCCUAACACCUGCCAGUCGAACGGUAACAGGAAGAAGCUUGCUUCUUUGCUGACGAGUGGCGGACGGGUGAGUAAUGUCUGGGAAACUGCCUGAUGGAGGGGGAUAACUACUGUAAACGGUAGCUAAUACCGCAUAACGUCGCAAGACCAAAGAGGGGGACCUUCGGGCCUCUUGCCAUCGGAUGUGCCCAGAUGGGAUUAGCUAGUAGGUGGGGUAACGGCUCACCUAGGCGACGAUCCCUAGCUGGUCUGAGAGGAUGACCAGCCACACUGGAACUGAGACACGGUCCAGACUCCUACGGGAGGCAGCAGUGGGGAAUAUUGCACAAUGGGCGCAAGCCUGAUGCAGCCAUGCCGCGUGUAUGAAGAAGGCCUUCGGGUUGUAAAGUACUUUCAGCGGGGAGGAAGGGAGUAAAGUUAAUACCUUUGCUCAUUGACGUUACCCGCAGAAGAAGCACCGGCUAACUCCGUG